rnacentral:rRNA from 1 species
GAUGAACGCUAGCUACAGGCUUAACACAUGCAAGUCGAACGGCAGCACAGGGAGCUUGCUCCCGGGUGGCGAGUGGCGCACGGGUGAGUAAUACAUCGGAACGUGUCCUGUUGUGGGGGAUAACUGCUCGAAAGGGUGGCUAAUACCGCAUGAGACCUGAGGGUGAAAGCGGGGGAUCGCAAGACCUCGCGCAAUUGGAGCGGCCGAUGCCCGAUUAGCUAGUUGGUGAGGUAAAGGCUCACCAAGGCGACGAUCGGUAGCUGGUCUGAGAGGACGACCAGCCACACUGGGACUGAGACACGGCCCAG